rnacentral:lncRNA from 1 species
UUUUGAGUAUUGCUAUACGGUGAAAGUUCAAGUUAUAGCCUAUAUCCAGUAUUCCAGUUAGAAGUACUGUCUUUCCGAGGUAAGGGAUAUUAUUUUUUUUCGUAAUGAUAUUAUUUCUUCAAUAUCAUUAUGCUGAAAUAUUGAUCUGAAGUUUUUAUCAAAUUUGGAACUUUUGGUGUCGGAGUUACUAUUCACGCAUACGGCACUAUUCACGUAUACAAUACUAUUCACGAAUACGGCACUAUUCAUCGAAAAAUAAAAAUUUUUCUUUUCGUCCGAAAUAUCUAUUCUGGAUACUAGCUUUGAUUGUAUCCAUGUUUUGAUCAUUCUUGAAUUUUACACCACUAUGAUUAUUUUUGAGGUAUUUUUGGACAUGGAUAAAAUAAAGUACGAAUCCUUAAUCCUUAAUCCUUGUCAUUUUGUUUCACUGGAUUCGUUUCUUUAAAAAUAUUUUUCAUCAUCCUCAGUCUUAAAUGAUGAUAUUAUUGAAUAUCUUUGGCCUGUAGUGCAAAGAUGAAUGAUUUCUGAUGAAUAUCUUUGGCUCGUAGUGCAAAGAUGAACAGGUGUUUAGAUGAACAUGACCAACUGGUGAAUGUCCUUGGCCUGUAGUGCAAGGAUGAAUAUUUGAUUCCAGAUAUAUAUUGAUUUAUGUUACAGGGAUAAAAGAUAGACGAUGAACUUUAAAAUUCAUACAUAGAAGAUAGUAGUUUGCAUUCUCUACUUAACUCUUCUAAUGAAUUAUUAUUUCCG